UACGGAGGGUCCGAGCGUUAUCCGGAUUUAUUGGGUUUAAAGGGUGCGUAGGCGGGACUUUAAGUUAGUCGUUAAAUAGUGAGGCUUAACCUCGCAGUGGCGAUUAAUACUGGAGACCUAGAGAUUAGAUGCAGAGGGCGGAAUGUGUAGUGUAGCGGUGAAAUGCUUAGAUAUUACACAGAACACCGAUUGCGAAGGCAGCUCUCUAAUCUACAUCUGACGCUCAGGCACGAAGGCGUGGGGAUCAAACAGG
rnacentral:rRNA from 1 species